UACGUAGGUCGCAAGCGUUGUCCGGAAUCACUGGGCGUAAAGGGCGCGUAGGUGGCAUGAUAAGGGUGUGGUGAAAGCCCGGGGCUCAACCCCGGGUCUGCCAUGCCGACUGUCACGCUAGAGUACUGUAGGGGCAGGCGGAAUUCCGGGUGUAGCGGUGGAAUGCGUAGAUAUUGGGAGGAACACCAGUGGCGAAGGCGGCUCACUGGACCGGAACUGACGCUGAGGCGCGAAAGCGUGGGGAGCAAACAGG
rnacentral:rRNA from 1 species